GAACAAAUUGAGAUAAAAUUGGUAAUUGAAAAAUAAACCUUCAUUCCAAAAAACCAUGAAAACUAUUAAUUGUGUGAACCAGCUAUAGUAGGUCACAUGCAUAGGUCCACCGGUGGACCCUUAUUUUUGGGUUCAUAUAAGUGGCUUCCCAAUUUUUAAUUUUUCUUUAAAGAUAAACUUAAAUGGCUUGAAUCGAGAGUCUCUAAGACUUAACUCAACUC
rnacentral:lncRNA from 1 species